rnacentral:rRNA from 1 species
CCUACGGGAGGCAGCAGUGGGGAAUAUUGGACAAUGGGGGGAACUCUGACCCAGCGACGCCGCGUGCGUGAAGAAGUAUUUCGGUUUGUAAAGCUCUAUCAGCAGGGAAGAAAGAAAUGACGGUACCUGACUAAGAAGCCCCGGCUAACUACGUGCCAGCAGCCGGGGUAAUACGUAGGGGGCAAGCGUUAUCCGGAUUUACUGGGUGUAAAGGGGGCGUAGACGGCGAUGCAAGUCUGAAGUGAAAGGCGGGGGCGCAACCCCCGAACUGCUUUGGAAACUGUAUGGCUGGAGUGCAGGAGAGGUAAGUGGAAUUCCUAGUGUAGCGGUGAAAUGCGUAGAUAUUAGGAGGAACACCAGUGGCGAAGGCGGCUUACUGGACUGUAACUGACGUUGAGGCUCGAAAGCGUGGGGAGCAAACAGGAUUAGAUACCCGAGUAGUC